rnacentral:rRNA from 1 species
UAGGGAAUCUUCCGCAAUGGACGCAAGUCUGACGGAGCAACGCCGCGUGAGUGAAGAAGGAUUUCGGUUCGUAAAACUCUGUUGUUAGAGAAGAACAGCGCAUAGAGUAACUGUUAUGCGUGUGACGGUAUCUAACCAGAAAGCCACGGCUAACUACGUGCCAGCAGCCGCGGUAAUACGUAGGUGGCAAGCGUUGUCCGGAUUUAUUGGGCGUAAAGCGAGCGCAGGCGGUCAAUUAAGUCUGAUGUGAAAGCCCCCGGCUCAACCGGGGAGGGUCAUUGGAAACUGGUUGACUUGAGUGCAGAAGAGGAGAGUGGAAUUCCAUGUGUAGCGGUGAAAUGCGUAGAUAUAUGGAGGAACACCAGUGGCGAAGGCGACUCUCUGGUCUGUAACUGACGCUGAGGCUCGAAAGCGUGGGAAUCAAACAGG